rnacentral:rRNA from 1 species
GCCCAGAAUCGUUUACCGUGAAAAAAUUAGAGUGUUCAAAGCAGGCAGAUUUAACUUUCUGCCACCGAAUACAUUAGCAUGGGAUAAUGGAAUAGGACCCUGUCCUCCUAUUUUCAGUUGGUUUUUGAGGACCAGGGUAAUGAUUAAUAGGGAUAGUUGGGGGCAUUAAUAUUUAAUUGUCAGAGGUGAAAUUCUUGGAUUUAUGAAAGAUUAACUUCUGCGAAAGCAUCUGCCAAGGAUGUUUUCAUUAAUCAAGAACGAAAGUUAGGGGAUCGAAGACGAUCAGAUACCGUCGUAGUCUUAACCAUAAACGAUGCCGACCAGCGAUUAGGAGACGUUGAAUACAAAACACCACCAUCAGACGGCGGAGCAUCUUCACGCAAGUGAGGGUGGUUCGUUUCUCUGGUGGCCCGGUGAAUGACUCCCUAG